rnacentral:lncRNA from 1 species
GAAAGUGGAAGCCUUACUGAAGAGGAUUUAGACAAACUUGUCACAGAAAUGGAUCUAGAAGAUGAUAGAGUAAGACAAAAGAAGAAGAGUGCAAGCGAUUUUUGAUUGAAAGAGAGCAAAAAAAAAGAGAUUAUGAGAGGCCUUUGUGGAAAAGCCCGUCUGUUGCGGCUGCCCAGGCAGCAGCACUUAAAUCCACUUUGUCUGACAAAAAAAAUGAAAGCGGCUCAAUCAGUGAGAUUCCACAAGAAACAAAACCAGCAUCAACUCCUACCUCGCCUCUAUUGACUAGUCUGCUUCAAUCUCCAUCUCCUCUCCAGCGAUCCAGUCUUUCAUCAACUCCAACAAUAUCAAAUCUUCUCAACUCUGCUCCUGCCAUUCCUCAUUAUUCUAAUGGUAAAAACUCCCUCCUCAUUAGAUCUAAAUUUUUGCUGUCAGGCGUGCAGAGUGUGUCAAAGAGUUAAACCUUGAUAUUUCACAAUGUUAAGAUCAAACUCUGAUCUCUAAAUACUCAGAUUAAGGCCUAGUCUCCAUGGGACGCUUUCUUUCAGUUUGUCACUG